rnacentral:tRNA from 1 species
AGUGCUGUGGAGCAGUGGUCAGCUCGCAAGAUUCAUAACCUUGAGGUCGGUGGUUCGAAUCCAUCCAGCGCAA